UUUUGGGUCGGCAGUAAGUCUUUUUCAUGAUAUGUUUAAACUUUGUAUUUUUAACCUCCACCUCAAAUUUUAUCUCUUGUAGACAAGUUGCAAUUGAAAAUUUUAUGUUUUCCAUUAUUGGAAGCCUUGACCACUUCAAGCAAUUUGAAGGCAGAAUACUCCAAGCAUGAUGGAAUCCCUUCUCUUGUCCAGCAGCAUUAGUGGAUGCUGGCGAGAUGACCAUCAAGGCUGAAGUAUGGCAACACUAUGCUGUUUGAGAGUAAACUGAGAGACAAGUUGCAAUUGAAAAGGUUAUCUUUUCCAUUAUUGGAAGCCUUGACCACUUCAAGCAAGUUGAAGGCAGAAUACUCCAAGAAUGAUGGAAUCCCUUCUCUUGUCUGGCAUCAUUAG